rnacentral:rRNA from 1 species
UACGUAGGGUGCAAGCGUUAAUCGGAAUUACUGGGCGUAAAGCGUGCGCAGGCGGCUUUGCAAGACAGAUGUGAAAUCCCCGGGUUUAACCUGGGAACUGCAUUUGUGACUGCAUGGCUGGAGUGCGGCAGAGGGGGAUGGAAUUCCGCGUGUAGCAGUGAAAUGCGUAGAUAUGCGGAGGAACACCGAUGGCGAAGGCAAUCCCCUGGGCCUGCACUGACGCUCAUGCACGAAAGCGUGGGGAGCAAGCAGG